AUUGAACGCUAGCGGCAUGCCUAACACAUGCAAGUCGAGCGAGCGGCGGACGGGUGAGUAAUGUCUGCGAAACUGCCAGAUGGAGGUGGAUACCUACUAGAGACGGUAACUAAUACAGCACACCAACAGAUGGGCCCAGAUGGGAUUAGCUGGUAGGGGGGGUAACGGAUCACCUAUGAGACGAUCCCUAGCUGGUCUGAGAGGAUGACCAGCCAACCUGGGACUGAGAACCGGCCCAGACUCCUACGUGAGGCAGCAGUGGGGAAGAUUGGACAAUGGGCGCAAGCCUGAUGCAGCCAUGCCGCGUGUGUGAAGAAGGCCUUCGGGUUGUAAAGCACUUUCAGCGGGGAGGCGUUACCCGCAGAAGAAGCACCGGCUAACUCCGUGCCAGCCGCCGCGGUAAUAC
rnacentral:rRNA from 1 species